GACAGAGGAGCCAAGCGUUGUCCGGAUUAACUGGGCGUAAAGCGCACGCAGGUGGUCGUGCAAGUGCGGUGUAAAAGUGGCCGGCUUAACCGGCCGAGGCAUUGCAGACUGUGCGACUGGAGCCAUGCAGAGGUCCGUGGAAUUGCCGGUGUAGUGGUGAAAUGCGUAGAGAUCGGCAGGAACACCAAAGGGGAAGCCAGCGGACUGGGCAUGUGCUGACACUGAGGUGCGACAGCGUGGGGAGCGAACUGG
rnacentral:rRNA from 1 species